rnacentral:rRNA from 1 species
CGCGUAGGUGGUUUGUUAAGCUGGAUGUGAAAGCCCCGGGCUCAACCUGGGAACUGCAUCCAAAACUGGCAAGCUAGAGUACGGUAGAGGGUGGUGGAAUUUCCUGUGUAGCGGUGAAAUGCGUAGAUAUAGGAAGGAACACCAGUGGCGAAGGCGACCACCUGACUGAUACUGACACUGAGGUGCGAAAGCGUGGGGAGCAAACA